GCGGGAAUUCGAUUAGAGUUUGAUCAUGGCUCAGGAUUAACGUUAGUAGUAUGCUUAACACAUGCAAGUGGAGCGGGGAAGAUAGAAAUUUAUUUUUAUUUUCUUAGCGUCGGACGGGUGAGUAAUGCUUAUCUGACUUACCGAUUAGUGGGGGAUAGCCGCGGGAAACUGUGGGUAAUACCGCAUUUGUUGUAUAUUCGUUUAUGCAAUUAAAGGAAGCUUCGGCUUUCGCUAAUUGAUAGGGAUAAGUCGUAUUACCUAUGUUGGUGGGGUAAAAGCCUACCAAGGCAAUGAUGCGUAGCCAGCCCGAGAGGGUGUAUGGCCACAAAGGGACUGAGACCCGGCCCUUACUCCUACGGGAGGCACCAGUGGGGAAUAUUCGUAAUGGGGGGAACCCUGAACGAGCAAUACUACGUGGGGGAUGAAGGUCUAAGGAUUGUAAACCCCUGUUAUCGCAGAAAAAGAGUACUUGUUACUUUGAUUGUAUGCGAAGAGGAAGUGACGACUAUAUAUGUGCCAGCAGCCGCGGUAAUACGAAUCACUAGUGAAUUCGCGGCCGCCUGCAGGUCGACCAUAUGGGAGCGCCC
rnacentral:rRNA from 1 species